rnacentral:rRNA from 1 species
GAUGAACGCUAGCGAUAGGCUUAACACAUGCAAGUCGAGGGGCAGCACAAGGUAGCUUGCUAUCUGGGUGGCGACCGGCGCACGGGUGCGUAACGCGUAUGCAACUUGCCCUAUACAGGAGGAUAACCCGUCGAAAGACGGACUAAUACUGCGUAUGCUCACAACUUGGCAUCAAGUGGUGAGGAAAGAAAUUCGGUAUAGGAUAGGCAUGCGUCCCAUUAGCUUGUUGGUGAGGUAACGGCCCACCAAGGCAACGAUGGGUAGGGGAACUGAGAGGUUGAUCCCCCACACUGGUACUGAGAAACGGACCAGACUGCUACGGGAGGCAGCAGUGAGGAAUAUUGGUCAAUGGACGCGAGCCUGAACCAGCCAAGUCGCGUGAAGGAUGACUGUCUUAUGGAUUGUAACCUUCUUUUAGACGGGAAUAACAGGAGUCACGUGUGACUCCCUGCAUGUACCGGAUGAAUAAGCAUCGGCUAACUACGUG